rnacentral:rRNA from 1 species
GAUGAACGCUAGCGGCAGGCUUAAUACAUGCAAGUCGAACGGUAAGUGUAGUAGCAAUAUUAUACGAGAGUGACGUACGGGUGCGUAACACGUAUGCAACCUACCCUGUACAGGAGGAUAGCUCGGGGAAACUCGAAUUAACCCUCCAUAAUAUCAUUAGAUGGCAUCAUUUGAUGAUUAAAACUUUGGUGGUACAAGAUGGGCAUGCGUCUGAUUAGUUAGGGUGCGGGUAACGGCCCACCAAGACGAUGAUCAGUAGGGACCUGAGAGGGUGAU